GAUGAACGCUAGCUACAGGCUUAACACAUGCAAGUCGAGGGGAAACGGCAUUAAGUGCUUGCACUUUUUGGACGUCGACCGGCGCACGGGUGAGUAACGCGUAUCCAACCUUCCCAUGACUAAGGGAUAACCUGCCGAAAGGCAGACUAAUACCUUAUGGUCUUCACUGACGGCAUCAGAUGUGAAGUAAAGAUUUAUCGGUUAUGGAUGGGGAUGCGUCUGAUUAGCUUGUUGGCGGGGUAACGGCCCACCAAGGCAACGAUCAGUAGGGGUUCUGAGAGGAAGGUCCCCCACAUUGGAACUGAGACACGGUCCAAACUCCUACGGGAGGCAGCAGUGAGGAAUAUUGGUCAAUGGGCGAGAGCCUGAACCAGCCAAGUAGCGUGCAGGAUGACGGCCCUAUGGGUUGUAAACUGCUUUUGGAUGGGGAUAAAGUCAAUCACGUGUGAUUGUUUGCAGGUACCAUACGAAUAAGGACCGGCUAAUUCCGUG
rnacentral:rRNA from 1 species